AGUGAACGCUGGCGGUAGGCCUAACACAUGCAAGUCGAACGGCAGCACAGUAAGAGCUUGCUCUUACGGGUGGCGAGUGGCGGACGGGUGAGGAAUACAUCGGAAUCUACUUUUUCGUGGGGGAUAACGUAGGGAAACUUACGCUAAUACCGCAUACUACCUACGGGUGAAAGCAGGGGAUCUUCGGACCUUUCGCGAUUGAAUGAGCCGAUGUCGGAUUAGCUAGUUGGCGGGGUAAAGCCCCACCAAGGCGACGAUCCGUAGCUGGACUGAGGGGAUGAUCAGCCACACUGGAACUGAGACACGGUCCAGACUCCUACGGGAGGCAGCAGUGGGGAAUAUUGGACAAUGGGCGCAAGCCUGAUCCAGCCAUACCGCGUGGGUGAAGAAGGCCUUCGGGUUGUAAAGCCCUUUUGUUGGGAAAGAAAAGCAGCAGGUUAAUACCCCGCUGUUCUGACGGUACCCAAAGAAUAAGCACCGGCUAACUUCGUG
rnacentral:rRNA from 1 species